rfam:Fukomys damarensis contig135799, whole genome shotgun sequence.
AAACACUGAUGAAAAUAGCCAAAUCUGAGUAUCAGAAGACCUUCCAGCUGAGAAACAUAUCUGUAAAAUAACUUAAA